AGCGAACGCUGGCGGCAGGCUUAACACAUGCAAGUCGAGCGGGCACUUUCGGGUGUCAGCGGCGGACGGGUGAGUAACGCGUGGGAACGUGCCCUCUGGUUCGGAAUAACUCAGGGAAACUUUAGCUAAUACCGGAUACGCCCUUUUGGGGAAAGGCUUGCUGCCGGAGGAUCGGCCCGCGUCUGAUUAGCUAGUUGGUGAGGUAACGGCUCACCAAGGCGACGGUCAGUAGCUGGUCUGAGAGGAUGAUCAGCCACACUGGGACUGAGACACGGCCCAGACUCCUACGGGAGGCAGCAGUGGGGAAUAUUGGACAAUGGGCGCAAGCCUGAUCCAGCCAUGCCGCGUGAGUGAUGAAGGCCUUAGGGUUGUAAAGCUCUUUUAUCCGGGACGAUAAUGACGGUACCGGAGGAAUAAGCCCCGGCUAACUUCGUG
rnacentral:rRNA from 1 species